rnacentral:misc_RNA from 1 species
GAAGUGCGAUAAGCAAUGCGAAUUGCAGAACCGUGAGUCAUCAGAUUUUUGAACGCAACUGGCGCUGGCUGGGUCUCCAGCCAGCAUGCUUGUUUCAGUGUCUUGUUUUCUCCUCACCCAAAACUUAAUGCGAGAGAUACCCUUCUCUUGCCAAGCAUGAAAGCACUCUUCUUCUGCGAGCGGCUUUUGACUUGUCAAUGGUCGCACUCAAUGCAGACGUCACAUUUCUAACAAUGUGAACUCAUUGAGAGCAGAAGCAGUCAGCUAACGCUGUCAGUGCUUAGUCACUUAAACUUUUCUUGCACCUGAAAUCAAGCAGGACCACCCGCUGAACUUAA